rnacentral:tRNA from 1 species
GUCUUCAUAGCUUAGAUGGUCUAGAGCGACGGAAUUUUAAUCCGGAUGACAUUGGUUCGAGUCCAGUUGAAGAUA